rnacentral:rRNA from 1 species
UUCGGGGUACACGAGCGGCGAACGGGUGAGUAACACGUGGGUGAUCUGCCUCGCACUCUGGGAUAAGCCUGGGAAACUGGGUCUAAUACCGGAUAUGACCUUACAUCGCAUGGUGUUUGGUGGAAAGAUUUAUCGGUGCGAGAUGGGCCCGCGGCCUAUCAGCUUGUUGGUGGGGUAAUGGCCUACCAAGGCGACGACGGGUAGCCGGCCUGAGAGGGCGACCGGCCACACUGGGACUGAGACACGGCCCAGACUCCUACGGGAGGCAGCAGUGGGGAAUAUUGCACAAUGGGCGAAAGCCUGAUGCAGCGACGCCGCGUGAGGGAUGACGGCCUUCGGGUUGUAAACCUCUUUCGACAGGGACGAAGCGCAAGUGACGGUACCUGUAGAAGAAGCACCGGCCAACUACGUGCCAGCAGCCGCGGUAAUACGUAGGGUGCGAGCGUUGUCCGGAAUUACUGGGCGUAAAGAGCUUGUAGGCGGCUUGUCGCGUCGAUCGUGAAAACUUGGGGCUCAACCCCAAGCUUGCGGUCGAUACGGGCAGGCUUGAGUACUUCAGGGGAGACUGGAAUUCCUGGUGUAGCGGUGAAAUGCGCAGAUAUCAGGAGGAACACCGGUGGCGAAGGCGGGUCUCUGGGAAGUAACUGACGCUGAGAAGCGAAAGCGUGGGUAGCGAACAGGAUUAGAUACCCUGGUAGUCCACGCCGUAAACGGUGGGUACUAGGUGUGGGUUUCCUUCCACGGGAUCCGUGCCGUAGCUAACGCAUUAAGUACCCCGCCUGGGGAGUACGGCCGCAAGGCUAAAACUCAAAGGAAUUGACGGGGGCCCGCACAAGCGGCGGAGCAUGUGGAUUAAUUCGAUGCAACGCGAAGAACCUUACCUGGGUUUGACAUACACCGGAAACCUGCAGAGAUGUAGGCCCCCUUGUGGUCGGUGUACAGGUGGUGCAUGGCUGUCGUCAGCUCGUGUCGUGAGAUGUUGGGUUAAGUCCCGCAACGAGCGCAACCCUUAUCUUAUGUUGCCAGCGCGUAAUGGCGGGGACUCGUGAGAGACUGCCGGGGUCAACUCGGAGGAAGGUGGGGACGACGUCAAGUCAUCAUGCCCCUUAUGUCCAGGGCUUCACACAUGCUACAAUGGCCGGUACAGAGGGCUGCGAUACCGUGAGGUGGAGCGAAUCCCUUAAAGCCGGUCUCAGUUCGGAUCGGGGUCUGCAACUCGACCCCGUGAAGUUGGAGUCGCUAGUAAUCGCAGAUCAGCAACGCUGCGGUGAAUACGUUCCCGGGCCUUGUACACACCGCCCGUCACGUCAUGAAAGUCGGUAACAC